rnacentral:rRNA from 1 species
ACCUGGUUGAUCCUGCCAGAGGCGACCGCUUUUGGAGUUCGAUUAAGCCAUGCGAGUCGAGAGCCUUAGGGGCUCGGCAUACUGCUCAGUAACACGUGGAUAACCUGCCCUAUUGUCUGGAAUAACCUCGGGAAACUGAGAACAAGGCCGGAUAGCCCACAAUGCCUGGAACGGUUUGUGGGUGAAGAUAGGAUGGGUCUGCGGCGUAUCAGGUCGUAGGGGGUGUAAUGGACCUCCUAGCCAUCGACGCGUACGGGUGUUGGGAGACAUAGCCCGGAGAUGGAUUCUGAGACACGAAUCCAGACCCUACGGGGUGCAGCAGGCGCGAAAACUUCACACUGCAGGAAACUGUGAUGAGGGAACUCCAAGUGCAUUCACUAUGUGGAUGCUUUUUUUGACUAUUAAUCGGUCAACGAAUAAGGGCUGGGAAAGACCGGUGCCAGCCGCCGCGGUAAUACCGGCAGCUCAAGUGGUCGUCGCUUUUAUUGGGCCUAAAACGUCCGUAGCCUGUUUGGUAAAUCUGUGGGUAAAUCAACCAGCUUAACUGGUUGAAUUCUGCAGAGACUGCCAGACUAGGGACCGGGAGAGGUGUGGGGUACU